GCCUAUGUGGUGCAGUGGUCAGCACGACGGUCUCGGAUACCGUAGGCCCGGGUUCGAGUCCUGGUAGAGGCG